GGCCUACCAUGGUGGUAACGGGUAACGGGGUGUUAGGGCACGACACCGGAGAGGGAGCCUGAGAAACGGCUACCACAUCCAAGGAUGGCAGCAGGCGCGCAAAUUACCCAAUCCCGACACGGGGAGGUAGUGACAAUAAAUAACAAUACGGGGUUCUUACGGAUCUCGUAAUUGGAAUGAGUACAAUUUAAAUCUCUUAACGAGGAACAAUUGGAGGGCAAGUCUGGUGCCAGCAGCCGCGGUAAUUCCAGCUCCAAUAGCGUAUAUUAAAGUUGUUGCAGUUAAAAAGCUCGUAGUUGAAUUUCGGGAUCAAUAUGUCGGUCGUGCCUCGGUACGUACUGGCAUCAUUGGUUUCUACCUUCUGAUGAACCAUGAUGCCAUUAAUUUGGUGUCGUGGGGAAUCAGGACUGUUACUUUGAAAAAAUUAGAGUGUUUAAAGCAGGCUCACGCUUGAAUACAUUAGCAUGGAAUAAUGAAAUAGGACGUUUGAUUCUAUUUUGUUGGUUUCUAGGAUCGACGUAAUGAUUAAUAGGGAUAGUUGGGGGCAUUAGUAUUCAAUUGUCAGAGGUGAAAUUCUUGGAUUUAUUGAAGACUGACUACUGCGAAAGCAUUUGCCAAGGAUGUUUUCAUUAAUCAAGAACGAAAGUUAGGGGAUCGAAGACGAUCACAUACCGUCGUAGUCUUAACCAUAAACUAUGCCGACUAGGGAUCGGAUGAUGUUAAUUUUUUAAUGACUCAUUCGGCGCCUUACG
rnacentral:rRNA from 1 species